UACAGAGGGGGGCAAGCGUUGUUCGGAAUUACUGGGCGUAAAGGGCGCGUAGGCGGCCUGUUAAGUCGAACGUGAAAUCCCCGGGCUCAACCCCGGGAACUGCGUCCGAUACUGGCAGGCUUGAAUUCGGGAGAGGGAUGUGGAAUUCCAGGUGUAGCGGUGAAAUGCGUAGAAUAUCUGGAGGAACACCGGUGGCGGAAGGCGGCCG
rnacentral:rRNA from 1 species